rnacentral:lncRNA from 10 species
AUUAAAAUCAGUCAUGAUGUGUUUCACAGUGGAACACUACGUAACGUUUCAAAAUGGGCCUGUCAAAUGGUUAAAUCUAAAAAGUAUAUUUAAAAUAAUGCACAAAAAAGAUAAUUUAGGCUGCUGCUAACCUCUGGAAAGUUAAAGAGAAUGGGAUUGGGGAGGGAUACUGGGGGGAGCUUCAGCUAUCCUUAUACACUACUGUUUUAUUCCUUAGAAAAAAACAACCUAGAGCCAUAUGGCAAAGUGUUAGCUUCCAAUAAAGCUGGGAAGUGGUUGGGUUAUGCUAUUCUCAGUUCUCUUCUAUAGAUCUGGAAUAACUCCUAAUAAAUUGAAGUAAAGGGACAGCAACAAAUGAGUUGCUUUUAUACAACUGAAGUGAAAUGCAGCAACAAAUCCAGCAACAAUGGGUCACUGAGUCAGCUGAGAGACUAAGACCAUCCUUCCAGCCAGAGCUCCUUGAGGAUUUCUGCUAGCAGACCAUCAUCUUGUUUCUCUGGCAGAGAAAGCACCAGCUGCUGGAAUCCCACGACCGACUGGGUCUCACUACUGGCCCAGUUGCUAGGAACUUCAAGUGCAGAGCCGUAAUGAAGACACACAUUCUCUCUCUCUCUCUCUCUCUCUCUCUCUCUCUCUCAACUGUCAGCAGUUGGCAUGGUCAAAAAUAAAGCACAGACCUGACAUGUCAGCUUUGUGAAAUCCAAACGGGACCACUGAAUGAGCUGGAAAGAGCCAUGGCACUCACCGCGUGAUGAACUGUGACCUCAAUGUACACUCUCCCUUUUCUUCACAGUCUCCUCCCACUUCCUCACUUACUUGCAUUCCAAGGGUAGCCCCUGAAGGCAGGAUAAUCAUCCAUCAUCCAAGCCUACGUCCUUGGGAGGAAGCCUCCGCUACCAGCAAAGGCCCAGGAGGAGGCUGGGGGUGUGUGUUUCUUUGUGAAAAAAGAUCACAGGGCUAGCAGUCAUUGUUCUGAGAACAGCAGCUCUGGUUCUUCAGCUCCCCUGACAAAUAUUCUCCAGGAUUCCAGAGCAGCAGCUGAGGCUGGAGGAGGGAGAAGUUGAAGUCCAUAGGAGGAGCUCUGUUCACCUAAAGGUAAAUGGGCUAAUAGGUGGAUGCUGCUGCUUGCUGCGAGUCACCCAAUCCCAGUGGAACUGCAAGGCGACUUAUAGCAGAAGAUGUGAAUUACCCUUUGUUCUCAAUGGAAAGACUCUUCAGGACAGGCAUGCCCACUACAUUGUGUAGGACCAUGGGUCUGUGUCAUUCUCUUUGUCCCCAGUGCUGUCACACAAAUACAGAAGACCAGAUUAUGUAUGUCUUACUCUCUUGCCACACUCUCAACAACUAUAGUAUGGGUUCUUGUUCACCUGUUGGUCAGCUUGGCCCCGCCAGAGGCCCUUAUGGAUAGCAAAUGACAUUCAUUGAGAAGCUACUUUGCACCAGGCACUUUCAUGUACAUCACCAAAUCCCACCCCAGUGGGGUAAGGAACACUGCUUUCACUAUUCUAAUUAUGAAAAAUCCCAAACUUAAAGAGGUUUUCUAUUGCUGUUUUUAAAGUCAAAGGCCACAUGGCUUGUGUCUGAGCCAGGUUUCAAAGUCAUGUUGACUCUCAGACUCUGUCCUUUCUGUUGGCCCUGCUAAACAGUGAAAGGGUGGGGACUUGCAUUUGUGUACUGCCUUGCCGUUCACCAAUGAAGCAGCCUUAAUCCAUGUGACAUGUGGUCUCCUCUCUGCGGCACAAGAGGAAAUGACUACAGUGGAGGCUGGCCAUUCUGGCUUACUCUCAAGUUUGGAUUUUAAUGAAUGAGGGAUUUGAAGACAAAAAGUCACCACUGAGAUGCUCAGUUGUGCCAUGAUGGGACAAGGAAGUGGCUGGGAGUCUGGGAGAAGAACCUGACUUUGUACUGUGCUAAGCAUGGGUGCUGCUGCAUCGGUGCACACAGUGGAGUCUAGGUGAUUCACCUCAUCAAUAAACAUCUACUGAGUUCCUUCUCUGUGCCAGCCAUGGAGAGGCACUGGGAAUUCAACGAGGAAUAUUCCGACACAGUCUUUAUUUGGGGGAGACACCGUUCUUUGAGGAGAUUCAGGAUAGUAGGACAGAGCUGGCCCACACAGAGAAAUGUAAAAGUUGUGCUAGGCAGAUAAGCUAACCCCUCAGGAUAUUUUAGACUUGUUCUAGAACUUACUUUUCUUCUUGAUGGCUGUACUCUUUAUCCUAAUGAGAGCAGCUUAGACAAAGAAUGGAGACCAUGUUUCUAACUCCAUGCUCUUCGUUUAUAGAAAGGUGCAUUUCUGUUUUGAAAAACUGUUCUCUCUUCCGUGUAGAAUAUCUUGCUCUCAUUAACUGUUAUGUACCACUCGUGACAAUUCACUGGUGAUUUUUAGGACAGAAAUUAGAGUCACAGAAACCUCUUCAACUUGUAAGAGAAAUCUACAAGCUUCCUUCUGGGGGAAGUUUCUUCCCAGAACUAAAGCUGAUUAACAACCAAACAACUAUCCAGGGACUCUUGCAAUGCACAAACCACCACCACAUUAGAAGUGAUGGGGAAGGGAGAAAACUGCAGAAGACCACAUCAAAGAAAGCCGGUUUAUGAGAUUUAACUUUGAAAGGCUGACUGGGAAAUGUUGGGGAUGAAGCUUUUCUGACAGAGCUAUUUGCCUGAGAAAGAUGGUCAGAGCUCUUUCUGCUGAGAACUUUAGUCAAUUACAAUCACAGCUGCACUGCUGAGAUGCCAAUUUAUACUCAGAUGCUGCCAAAUGGAGCAAUUUCCAUAAAAUGCACCACAUGCUUAUUCUCCAAAGUCACUCUCUAUUUUAACAAGCAAAUGGUCACUACUUCAAGGAUUCAACAGGCUGUGUGAAACUGACAAGCUGCUUAAGAUUUCACAUUUGAGCACAUUGUUCUUGGACAUGGAAGGGCCACUCUCUAAGGCUGAGAAAAGAGCAUGAAGAACUGGUCCCAUCAGUGAGAAACUCCUAGAUUUGGUCAUGAUUAUGCUCCAAGGUGUAAUGGACUUGCAUGAUGGAAGCCAUUCAUACUAGCAAGAAUCACUAGUGAAUUUCUGAAGUUUGAUUUGGGUAAGAUACCAUAUGAGUUGAAACUAUUCUACUGGAUCUCCUAUAAUACAAAGUAUGUUUUCUCAAGCACUUUUUAGCUGUAAAGGUAACAACGUAAAUUUAAAAUAGAAGUGCAGUUGGCAAUUUAUCCAUUUAAAUCAUAUACCUUGAAAGCCCUUUUUAAUUUCAGAGUUUUACUGACACAGAGAACAAGGGAGAGUUUGGAGGAAAUAAGAGAAUUAAGAAUGAUUCAUUAUGAAGAGAUAUUAUUGUAAGAUUGGUUACAAGAGCAAGGGUUAUUGGAUAAGUUCAAUUUGUAAGUACCUGCUGGGUGCCUAUUGCAUGUCAACACUGGGAUGGGAAAUGCUGGGGAUACAAAACUACAAGUAAUGUGUAUCUUGCAGAAGCCUGCAAUCUAAGACACUUAAAUGCUGGCAAAAGUUAUAUUUAUGGAUUAUUAGUUGUGAUCUCCUUCUCAUGAAAUUUGAUAUUAUUUUCUAGGGAUGUCUUUAUAAUGCUUUUCACAAUGAAGUAUACCAAUCAAGAUUUUGGUAUUUUGAGUGUUGGGAACUUUGUGAGGUAUGCAUUCAUUUGUUAAUUCAUUCAAUAAACAUCUACUGAAUAGCUUUUGUGU